rnacentral:rRNA from 1 species
GACGAACGCUGGUGGCGUGCUUAACACAUGCAAGUCGAACGGGAUUUAGUAAACAGAAGCCUCGGUGGAAGAUUACUAAUGAGAGUGGCGAACGGGUGAGUAACGCGUGAGCAACCUGCCUAUGACAGUGGGAUAGCCUCGGGAAACCGGGAUUAAUACCGCAUAAAAUCGUAGAAACACAUGUUUUAACGGUCAAAGAUUUAUCGGUCAUAGAUGGGCUCGCGUCUGAUUAGCUAGUUGGUGAGAUAACAGCCCACCAAGGCGACGAUCAGUAGCCGGUCUGAGAGGAUGAACGGCCACAUUGGAACCGAGACACGGUCCAAACUCCUACGGGAGGCAGCAGUGGGGAAUAUUGCACAAUGGGGGAAACCCUGAUGCAGCGACGCCGCGUGAACGAAGAAGGUAUUCGUAUCGUAAAGUUCUGUCCUAUGGGAAGAUAAUGACAGUACCAUAGAAGAAAGCUCCGGCUAAAUACGUG